GACGAACGCUGGCGGCGUGCUUAACACAUGCAAGUCGAACGGAAAGGCCCUGCUUUUGUGGGGUGCUCGAGUGGCGAACGGGUGAGUAACACGUGAGUAACCUGCCCUUGACUUUGGGAUAACUUCAGGAAACUGGGGCUAAUACCGGAUAGGAGCUCCUGCUGCAUGGUGGGGGUUGGAAAGUUUCGGCGGCUGGGGAUGGACUCGCGGCUUAUCAGCUUGUUGGUGGGGUAGUGGCUUACCAAGGCUUGGACGGGUAGCCGGCCUGAGAGGGUGACCGGCCACAUUGGGACUGAGAUACGGCCCAGACUCCUACGGGAGGCAGCAGUGGGGAAUAUUGCACAAUGGGCGGAAGCCUGAUGCAGCAACUCCGCGUGCGGGAUGACGGCCUUCGGGUUGUAAACCGCUUUCGCCUGUGACGAAGCGUGAGUGACGGUAAUGGGUAAAGAAGCACCGGCUAACUACGUG
rnacentral:rRNA from 1 species